rnacentral:rRNA from 1 species
AACGAACGCUGGCGGCAUGCCUAACACAUGCAAGUCGAACGAGACCUUCGGGUCUAGUGGCGCACGGGUGCGUAACGCGUGGGAACCUGCCCUUAGGUUCGGAAUAACUCCCCGAAAGGGGUGCUAAUACCGGAUAAUGUCUUCGGACCAAAGAUUUAUCGCCUUUGGAUGGGCCCGCGUUGGAUUAGCUAGUUGGUAGGGUAAAAGCCUACCAAGGCGACGAUCCAUAGCUGGUCUGCGAGGAUGAUCAGCCACACUGGGACUGAGACACGGCCCAGACUCCUACGGGAGGCAGCAGUGGGGAAUAUUGGACAAUGGGCGAAAGCCUGAGCCAGCAAUGCCGCGUGAGUGAUGAAGGCCUUAGGGUUGUAAAGCUCUUUUACCCGGGAUGAUAAUGACAGUACCGGGAGAAUAAGCUCGGGCUAACUCCGUG